CUUUACUGUAUCUUGACAUUGGUUUUAGGUUGUACAUGUGUAGGAUAGGUGGGAGACUUUGAAGCGGUAACGCCAGUUAUCGUGGAGUCAUCGUUGAAAUACCACCCUUGUGCAACUUGAAAUCUAACCGCGUUCCCUGAAUCGGGAUCCGGGACAAUGUCUGGUGGUCAGUUUGACUGGGGCGGUCGCCUCCUAAAGAGUAACGGAGGCAUCCAAAGGUUCCCUCAGAGCGGUCGGUAAUCGCUCGAAGAGUGUAAAGGCAUAAGGGAGCUUUACUGUGAGAGAGGCAUCUCGAACAGUUGCGAAAGCAGGGCUUAGUGAUCCCGCGGUUUAGCGUGGAAUUGCCGUUGCUCAAUGGAUAAAAGGUA
rnacentral:rRNA from 1 species